UACGAAGGGUGCAAGCGUUACUCGGAAUUACUGGGCGUAAAGCGUGCGUAGGCGGCCCGGUAAGUCCGCUGUAAAAGUCAAAGGCUCAACCUUUGAAUGUCAGUGGAUACUGCCGGGCUAGAGUCCGGAAGAGGCGAGUGGAACUCCUGGUGUAGCGGUGGAAUGCGCAGAUAUCAGGAAGAACACCAACGGCGAAGGCAGCUCGCUAGGACGGUACUGACGCUGAGACGCGAAAGCGUGGGGGAGCGAACAGG
rnacentral:rRNA from 1 species